GAUUUGAAUUGAAAAAGUCAUCAACAACAAAGAUGUAUAACUCAUCAAGAUCUAUAACUUUUAUCUGGGUCAUUUCUUCAUCCGACAAAGUGAUAAUAACAUUGUUCAUAAAAUUCACAUAUAUCUCAUCUGGUUUAUAAACUAUAAGACAUACAUGUCAAUUUUGUGAACACUGUUACUAACACUUUGUCGGAUGAAGAAAUGACAAAUAUAAAAGUUAUAGAUCUUGAUGAGUUAUAAAACUUUGUUGUUGAUGACUUUUUAGUUGAAAUC
rnacentral:pre_miRNA from 1 species